CUCCCAGAUCUCAAGGCUGGAAGUCUAAAAUUGAGGCACCUGCUCAUUCAAGGCCUUGGUGAGGGCCGGGUCAAACACUGCCUUCCCACAUAAUGGAAGGGAAGAUGCAGCCUCAUCAAUCCUGUGUGGGCAGGCGAGAAGACUUCAAAAGUCAGAAAAUUGGUUACAUCAUACAGAAUCAGAGAUGUGGGCUUAGAGAGGGAACCAAAUCCUACGAGAGGCUCAGAUUUUCCUUUGAGGACCUUUCAUUAUUUGUUUUAAAGUAAAAGUCCUCACCCCGAUAAAAAAAAAAAACAGAUAUGCAAUAGACCAUCUUGAAAGUGAUCAGAGUUUCACCCCAAAAAGAAUGUUUUGAAUAAAAAGAGGUUUUAAGACA